rnacentral:rRNA from 1 species
CGGACGGGUGAGUAACGCGUGGGCAACCUGCCCUGCACUGGGGGAUAACACUUAGAAAUAGGUGCUAAUACCGCAUAAUAAAAUAUAUUGCAUGAUAUAUUUUUGAAAGCUGCGGCGGUGCAGGAUGGGCCCGCGUCUGAUUAGCCAGUUGGCGGGGUAACGGCCCACCAAAGCGACGAUCAGUAGCCGGCCUGAGAGGGUGGACGGCCACAUUGGGACUGAGACACGGCCCAAACUCCUACGGAAGGCAGCAG